rnacentral:rRNA from 1 species
AGAGUUUGAUCAUGGCUCAGAUUGAACGCUGGCGGCAGGCCUAACACAUGCAAGUCGAACGGUAACAGGAAGCAGCUUGCUGCUUCGCUGACGAGUGGCGGACGGGUGAGUAAUGUCUGGGAAGCUGCCUGAUGGAGGGGGAUAACUACUGGAAACGGUAGCUAAUACCGCAUAAUGUCGCAAGACCAAAGAGGGGGACCUUCGGGCCUCUUGCCAUCGGAUGUGCCCAGAUGGGAUUAGCUUGUUGGUGGGGUAACGGCUCACCAAGGCGACGAUCCCUAGCUGGUCUGAGAGGAUGACCAGCCACACUGGAACUGAGACACGGUCCAGACUCCUACGGGAGGCAGCAGUGGGGAAUAUUGCACAAUGGGCGCAAGCCUGAUGCAGCCAUGCCGCGUGUAUGAAGAAGGCCUUCGGGUUGUAAAGUACUUUCAGCGGGGAGGAAGGGAGUAAAGUUAAUACCUUUGCUCAUUGACGUUACCCGCAGAAGAAGCACCGGCUAACUCCGUGCCAGCAGCCGCGGUAAUACGGAGGGUGCAAGCGUUAAUCGGAAUUACUGGGCGUAAAGCGCACGCAGGCGGUUUGUUAAGUCAGAUGUGAAAUCCCCGGGCUCAACCUGGGAACUGCAUCUGAUACUGGCAAGCUUGAGUCUCGUAGAGGGGGGUAGAAUUCCAGGUGUAGCGGUGAAAUGCGUAGAGAUCUGGAGGAAUACCGGUGGCGAAGGCGGCCCCCUGGACGAAGACUGACGCUCAGGUGCGAAAGCGUGGGGAGCAAACAGGAUUAGAUACCCUGGUAGUCCACGCCGUAAACGAUGUCGACUUGGAGGUUGUGCCCUUGAGGCGUGGCUUCCGGAGCUAACGCGUUAAGUCGACCGCCUGGGGAGUACGGCCGCAAGGUUAAAACUCAAAUGAAUUGACGGGGGCCCGCACAAGCGGUGGAGCAUGUGGUUUAAUUCGAUGCAACGCGAAGAACCUUACCUGGUCUUGACAUCCACGGAAGUUUUCAGAGAUGAGAAUGUGCCUUCGGGAACCGUGAGACAGGUGCUGCAUGGCUGUCGUCAGCUCGUGUUGUGAAAUGUUGGGUUAAGUCCCGCAACGAGCGCAACCCUUAUCCUUUGUUGCCAGCGGUCCGGCCGGGAACUCAAAGGAGACUGCCAGUGAUAAACUGGAGGAAGGUGGGGAUGACGUCAAGUCAUCAUGGCCCUUACGACCAGGGCUACACACGUGCUACAAUGGCGCAUACAAAGAGAAGCGACCUCGCGAGAGCAAGCGGACCUCAUAAAGUGCGUCGUAGUCCGGAUUGGAGUCUGCAACUCGACUCCAUGAAGUCGGAAUCGCUAGUAAUCGUGGAUCAGAAUGCCACGGUGAAUACGUUCCCGGGCCUUGUACACACCGCCCGUCACACCAUGGGAGUGGGUUGCAAAAGAAGUAGGUAGCUUAACCUUCGGGAGGGCGCUUACCACUUUGUGAUUCAUGACUGGGGUGGAGUCGUAACAAGGUA